ACGAACGCUGGCGGCGUGCCUAAUACAUGCAAGUUGAGCGCUGAAGGUUGGUACUUGUACCAACUGGAUGAGCAGCGAACGGGUGAGUAACGCGUGGGGAAUCUGCCUUUGAGCGGGGGACAACAUUUGGAAACGAAUGCUAAUACCGCAUAAAAACUUUAAACACAAGUUUUAAGUUUGAAAGAUGCAAUUGCAUCACUCAAAGAUGAUCCCGCGUUGUAUUAGCUAGUUGGUGAGGUAAAGGCUCACCAAGGCGAUGAUACAUAGCCGACCUGAGAGGGUGAUCGGCCACAUUGGGACUGAGACACGGCCCAAACUCCUACGGGAGGCGGCAGUAGGGAAUCUUCGGCAAUGGACGAAAGUCUGACCGAGCAACGCCGCGUGAGUGAAGAAGGUUUUCGGAUCGUAAAACUCUGUUGGUAGAGAAGAACGUUGGUGAGAGUGGAAAGCUCAUCAAGUGACGGUAACUACCCAGAAAGGGACGGCUAACUACGUG
rnacentral:rRNA from 1 species